rfam:Rhodococcus rhodnii LMG 5362 LMG_5362_contig020, whole genome shotgun sequence.
UCUGACGAGUGUCUCGCGGCCUCUGCCCGACGGCACCCUGGCGCACUUCCCCAGCGCCAGGUGGCCGCUCGGACAGGGACCACGAAACAUUCGCUGCCACAA